rnacentral:tRNA from 1 species
GGUUUUGGCUCAGUGGUGGAGUUCUUGCCUAGCACAUGCAAGGCCCUGGGUUUGAUUCCCAGCACCA